rnacentral:tRNA from 1 species
AGGGCUAUAGCUCAGCUUGGUAGAGCACCUCGUUUACAACCGAGAAGGGAAGGUCUACGGUUCGAGCCCGUAUAGUCCUA